rnacentral:rRNA from 1 species
UACAGAGGGUGCGAGCGUUAAUCGGAAUUACUGGGCGUAAAGCGUGCGUAGACGGCUAUCUAAGUCUGUCGUGAAAGCCCCGGGCUCAACCUGGGAAUGGCGAUGGAUACUGGCUCGCUAGAGUGCGGUAGAGGAGAGUGGAAUUCCCGGUGUAGCAGUGAAAUGCGUAGAGAUCGGGAGGAACAUCAGUUGCGAAGGCGGCUCUCUGGACCAGCACUGACACUGAGGCACGAAAGCGUGGGGAGCAAACAGG